rnacentral:lncRNA from 1 species
CAGAUUUUCCUAAAUCUGAUGUAUAGAAAACUUAAAAUGAGUUUUAUGAAAUAUAUGUGAUUGCUUUCUGUUGAACUUGUUGCAAAGCUGAAAAUUGAGUAUUAUGAAAAACAGUUUUCCUUUUAUUUUCAUAAUUCUUUUUUACUCAUUCUUUUUCUUUUAAACUUUUGGACAUCAAAACAGCCCCCAAAUAUACGGGGUUAAUCUUUGUAAGGAUGCUGUUAUUCUAUAUCUGAAAUGUCAUGCUCUCUAGGGUGCGAAGAGGUUUGCUUUUUCAUUUGAAUUUUAAGAGGGAG